UCAUGGUGACAAAUCCACCGGAACUUAUCACCGAACUAUGCAGUUCCUCUCAUCUCUAUCCGCCAAUUUGCCUGUUUAAAUUAACUAUUUUGGUUGUCGUGCCCACUAACUCUCACCAACUUUAUUGCUAGCCCCAGCAGGGAGUUUUUUUCGUCAAACCAGUUCUGAUAAACCCACUACCCGUACUCUACCUGUCCAGCACCUGACAGCAGACGGACAAAUUUAGCGACCAUAGCUGGUGAACACAGGGGAGUAUUUAGCAGCUAAAGAGACAAAUGUUUCCCCUCCGGCAACAGGCAAAAGUUUGCUAAACUGUUUGCCAAUUUUAUAAGUUGAUAACGUGUUGUGUUUUGCAGCUUGUUCCACUGCCCCCAAGUGGCCAAAAACGUAUUCAUGCAGCUUUAAGUGGAGUAGCAAAUAGCUGCAGCACCGGAGGCUGCACUUUCACACAUUUUCAGGAUCACAAUUCUAGGACCCUAUCUAGAGGGCGGGUCUUGCAAAGAAAGCGAGUGGGAUUCAUAAUGACGCAACAGGACCGCAUUUCCACCAAAAAUGGAAGAAGAGCACGUCAAGCCAAGUUGAAGUGGAGGAAUUCUGCAGACGAUCGAAAAACAAAUGAGAAAAGAAGACCACUCAAUUAAAAGAAACGGCAGACAAGAAAUAAUUAAAACGGUCAUUCUCCUGUUUGUCUGUAUUUCAUUUGGAAAUUGCCAAAAUUAAAAACUUUUUGACUUA